UCGCUUCGACUUUUUUUUUUUUCGCUUUUUUAAAAUUCUCAGAACGGGUCGCUAUUUCUAAAAAGAAAAACCCGCACGAUAUCUGUUUUCAGAUGUAGAAGCGUCCAAAAAUAAAUUGUAUGCUACUGUAUAUCUGGUCACUGCUGUGACAAGACAAAUUUAAUGUUGCAGCGUUAUAGAGUCUUUUGCGUUUUCAUCUGACAGCCACCAUCCAGCACAGUGUUAUCUUUCCCAGGAACUCUACAAACAGCCUUAGGUUUCUACAGCUCUUGGAGACCGGAUUCGUGCAGGCUGUGUGAUUGACCCAGUCCGGAAAGCAGGUAAGUGCAGCACAGCUUGGAGAACAGGGAAUGGUUCCUGCUGCUGACUGACACCGCACUGAGCACCGUGGGGGGCGGGGGGGUUGGUAGGAGGGGACU